UUAUGGCUCAGGAUGAACGCUGGCGGCGUGCCUAACACAUGCAAGUCGAACGGGGUUAAGGGAAAUUUCGGAUGGAACUUAGCUUAGUGGCGGACGGGUGAGUAACGCGUGGAUAACCUGCCUCACACUGGGGGAUAGCAGCUGGAAACGGCUGGUAAUACCGCAUAAGACCACGGUGCCGCAUGGCACAGGGGUAAAAGAUUUAUCGGUGUGAGAUGGAUCCGCGUCUGAUUAGCCAGUUGGCGGGGUAACGGCCCACCAAAGCGACGAUCAGUAGCCGGCCUGAGAGGGUGAACGGCCACAUUGGGACUGAGACACGGCCCAAACUCCUACGGGAGGCAGCAGUGGGGAACAUUGCACAAUGGGGGAAACCCUGAUGCAGCGACGCCCGCGUGAGUGAUGAAGUAUCUCGGUAUGUAAAGCUCUAUUAGCAGGGAAGAUAAUGACGGUACCUGACUAAGAAGCACCGGCUAAAUACGUGCCAGCAGCAGC
rnacentral:rRNA from 1 species